UACGCAGGGUGCAAGCGUUGUCCGGAAUUAUUGGGCGUAAAGAGCUCGUAGGCGGUUUGUCGCGUCGAAUGUGAAAACCCGGGGCUCAACCCCGGGCCUGCAUUCGAUACGGGCAGACUAGAGUUCGGUGGGGGAGUCUGGAAUUCCUGGUGUAGCGGUGAAAUGCGCAGAUAUCAGGAGGAACACCGGUGGCGAAGGCGGGACUCUGGGCCGAUACUGACGCUGAGGAGCGAAAGCGUGGGGAGCAAACAGG
rnacentral:rRNA from 1 species